GAUGAAGAACGCAGCGAAAUGCGAUAAGUAGUGUGAAUUGCAGAAUUCAGUGAAUCAUCGAAUCUUUGAACGCACAUUGCGCCCCUUGGUAUUCCAUGGGGCAUGCCUGUUCGAGCGUCAUUUGAACCCUCAAGCUCUGCUUGGUGUUGGGUGUUUGUCCCGCCAUUGCGCGUGGACUCGCCUUAAAGCAAUUGGCAGCCAUGUAAUCCGGCUUUGAGCGCAGCACAUUGCGUACUCUCUACUGGGACAUGGGCAUCCAGAAGCCUUAUUUUUUUUUACUCUUGACCUCGGAUCAGGUAGGGAUACCCGCUGAACUUAAGCAUAUCAAUAAGCGGAGGA
rnacentral:misc_RNA from 1 species